rnacentral:rRNA from 1 species
UACGUAGGGUGCAAGCGUUAAUCGGAAUUACUGGGCGUAAAGCGUGCGCAGGCGGUUUUGUAAGACAGAGGUGAAAUCCCCGGUCUCAACCUGGGAACUGCCUUUGUGACUGCAAGGCUUGAGUGCGGCAGAGGGGGAUGGAAUUCCGCGUGUAGCAGUGAAAUGCGUAGAUAUGCGGAGGAACACCGAUGGCGAAGGCAAUCCCCUGGGCCUGCACUGACGCUGAGGCGCGAAAGCUAGGGGAGCAAACAGG